GAUCAUUACCAAAACAAGAGGUUGGCGGAUGCACGCGAAGCGGUCUGAGCCGCUGAGUGGUCAUCCGACACCUCGACUCUUCACACCAUCUGUGUAUCUUUCCUGUUCUGCGGGUGCCCACGCGCUCGCGGAUGUAUUUAUCAAAUUCUCCUUCUUUAUGUCUUCUAUCUGAAUAAAUCUAUAAAUUAUUAAAACUUUCAACAACGGAUCUCUUGGUUCUCGCAUCGAUGAAGAACGCAGCGAAAUGCGAUAAGUAGUGUGAAUUGCAGAAUUCAGUGAAUCAUCGAAUCUUUGAACGCACAUUGCGCCCUCUGGUAUUCCGGAGGGCAUGCCUGUUCGAGCGUCAUCAAAAACCGUCAAGCAACUUUGCUUGGUCCUGCGGGAUGGAGAGCCUUCAUCGGCGCCCCACCUGCGAAAUUGAAUGGCGGACAAUCGAGCUUUGGAUUAGCAGCGUAGUAAGUUAUUCUUUCGCGGCAUCCAGCUUGCUACUUGUCCUGCCGGGCAGAAACCCCCACAUUUCAAGGUUUGACCUCGGAUCAGGUAGGGAUACCCGCUGAACUUAAGCAUAUCAAUAAGCGGAGGAAAAGAAACCAACAGGGAUUGCCUUAGUAACUGCGAGUGAAGCGGCAAAAGCUCAAAUUUGAAAUCUGGCGCCUUCGGCGUCCGAGUUGUAAUUUGGAGGGAUAUCUUCGGGACCGGCGCCGUUCUAAGUUCCUUGGAACAGGACGUCAUAGAGGGUGAGAAUCCCGUGCCUGGAUGGCUGCCCGGUUCCAUGUGAAGUGUCUCCGACGAGUCGAGUUGUUUGGGAAUGCAGCUCAAAAUGGGUGGUAAAUUUCAUCUAAAGCUAAAUAUUGGCGAGAGACCGAUAGCGAACAAGUAGAGUGAUCGAAAGAUGAAAAGCACUUUGAAAAGAGAGUUAAAAAGUACGUGAAAUUGUUGAAAGGGAAGCGCAUGCGACCAGACUCAGUCUUUGGUGAUCAUCCGGGGUUCUCUCCGGUGCACUUGCCAUUGACUGGGCCAGCAUCGGUUCCGGCGGCGGGACAAAAGCUCUGGGAAUGUGGCUUCCUUCGGGGAGUGUUAUAGCCCUAGGCACAAUGCCGCCAGCUGGGACCGAGGACCGC
rnacentral:rRNA from 1 species